rnacentral:rRNA from 1 species
AUGGGCGAAAGCCUGAUGCAGCGACGCCGCGUGAGGGAUGACGGCCUUCGGGUUGUAAACCUCUUUCAGCAGGGAAGAAGCGAGAGUGACGGUACCUGCAGAAGAAGCGCCGGCUAACUACGUGCCAGCAGCCGCGGUAAUACGUAGGGCGCAAGCGUUGUCCGGAAUUAUUGGGCGUAAAGAGCUCGUAGGCGGCUUGUCACGUCGGAUGUGAAAGCCCGGGGCUUAACCCCGGGUCUGCAUUCGAUACGGGCAGGCUAGAGUUCGGUAGGGGAGAUCGGAAUUCCUGGUGUAGCGGUGAAAUGCGCAGAUAUCAGGAGGAACACCGGUGGCGAAGGCGGAUCUCUGGGCCGAUACUGACGCUGAGGAGCGAAAGCGUGGGGAGCGAACAGGAUUAGAUACCCUGGUAGUCCACGCCGUAAACGUUGGGAACUAGGUGUGGGCGACAUUCCACGUCGUCCGUGCCGCAGCUAACGCAUUAAGUUCCCCGCCUGGGGAGUACGGCCGCAAGGCUAAAACUCAAAGGAAUUGACGGGGGCCCGCACAAGCAGCGGAGCAUGUGGCUUAAUUCGACGCAACGCGAAGAACCUUACCAAGGCUUGACAUACACCGGAAACGUCUGGAGACAGGCGCCCCCUUGUGGUCGGUGUACAGGUGGUGC